ensembl:snoRNA
UGUGUGUCCAUGUAUUUUUGUUCGGCCUGUGGAUAAAGACUUAGAGAAAGGUGCAAAAAAUAAAUUCUCUUUUGCAACCUAGAAGCCUCUGUUCACUGUGAGUUUUGACAACUGUGGGAUGGGGUAUU